rnacentral:rRNA from 1 species
UGCAUAUCAAUAAGCGGAGGAAAAGAAACCAACAGGGAUUGCCUUAGUAACGGCGAGUGAAGCGGCAAAAGCUCAAAUUUGAAAUCUGGCACCUUCGGUGUCCGAGUUGUAAUUUGAAGAAGGUAACUUUGGAGUUGGCUCUUGUCUAUGUUCCUUGGAACAGGACGUCACAGAGGGUGAGAAUCCCGUGCGAUGAGAUGCCCAAUUCUAUGUAAAGUGCUUUCGAAGAGUCGAGUUGUUUGGGAAUGCAGCUCUAAGUGGGUGGUAAAUUCCAUCUAAAGCUAAAUAUUGGCGAGAGACCGAUAGCGAACAAGUACAGUGAUGGAAAGAUGAAAAGAACUUUGAAAAGAGAGUGAAAAAGUACGUGAAAUUGUUGAAAGGGAAGGGCUUGAGAUCAGACUUGGUAUUUUGCGAUCCUUUCCUUCUUGGUUGGGUUCCUCGCAGCUUACUGGGCCAGCAUCGGUUUGGAUGGUAGGAUAAUGACUAAGGAAUGUGGCUCUACUUCGGUGGAGUGUUAUAGCCUUGGUUGAUACUGCCUGUCUAGACCGAGGACUGCGUCUUUUGACUAGGAUGUUGGCAUAAUGAUCUUAAGCCACCCGUCUUGAAACACGGACC